UUAAGCGACCAAGCGUACACGGUGGAUGCCCUGGCAGUCAGAGGCGAUGAAGGACGUGCUAAUCUGCGAAAAGCGCCGGUAAGGUGAUAUGAACCGUUAUAACCGGCGAUGUCCGAAUGGGGAAACCCAGUGUGACUCGUCACACUAUCAUUAACUGAAUCCAUAGGUUAAUGAGGCGAACCGGGGAACUGAAACAUCUAAGUACCCCGAGGAAAAGAAAUCAACCGAGAUUCCCCCAGUAGCGGCGAGCGAACGGGGAGGAGCCCAGAGCCUGAAUCAGCAUGUGUGUUAGUGGAAGCGUCUGGAAAGGCGCGCGAUACAGGGUGAGAGCCCCGUACACAAAAGCGCACGUGCUGUGAGCUCGAUGAGUAGGGCGGGACACGUGGUAUCCUGUCUGAAUAUGGGGGGACCAUCCUCCAAGGCUAAAUACUCCUGACUGACCGAUAGUGAACCAGUACCGUGAGGGAAAGGCGAAAAGAACCCCGGCGAGGGGAGUGAAACAGAACCUGAAACCGUGUACGUACAAGCAGUGGGAGCCCCACCACUAAGCCAGUGGUGAACUCCACAUACGCAUCCUUUGCUGAGGAUACGGUUAACGGAGCGAAAGCGACGUUUAACCGCAAAAGAAGCAGAGGGGGCUUAGUGGUGGGGUGACUGCGUACCUUUUGUAUAAUGGGUCAGCGACUUAUAUUCUGUAGCAAGGUUAACCGCAUAGGGGAGCCGGAGGGAAACCGAGUCUUAAUUGGGCGUUAAGUUGCAGGGUAUAGACCCGAAACCCGGUGAUCUAGCCAUGGGCAGGUUGAAGGUUGGGUAACACUAACUGGAGGACCGAACCGACUAAUGUUGAAAAAUUAGCGGAUGACCUGUGGCUGGGGGUGAAAGGCCAAUCAAACCGGGAGAUAGCUGGUUCUCCCCGAAAGCUAUUUAGGUAGCGCCUCGUGAAUUCAUCUCCGGGGGUAGAGCACUGUUUCGGCCAGGGGGCCAUCCCGGCUUACCAAUCCGAUGCAAACUGCGAAUACCGGAGAAUGUUAUCACGGGAGACACACGGCGGGUGCUAACGUCCGUCGUGAAGAGGGAAACAACCCAGACCGCCAGCUAAGGUCCCAAAGUCAUGGUUAAGUGGGAAACGAUGUGGGAAGGCCCAGACAGCCAGGAUGUUGGCUUAGAAGCAGCCAUCAUUUAAAGAAAGCGUAAUAGCUCACUGGUCGAGUCGGCCUGCGCGGAAGAUGUAACGGGCUAAACCAUGCACCGAAGCUGCGGCAGCGACACUGAUGUGUUGUUGGGUAGGGGAGCGUUCUGUAAGCCGUUGAAGGUGGCCUGUGAGGGUUGCUGGAGGUAUCAGAAGUGCGAAUGCUGACAUAAGUAACGAUAAAGCGGGUGAAAAGCCCGCUCGCCGGAAGACCAAGGGUUCCUGUCCAACGUUAAUCGGGGCAGGGUGAGUCGACCCCUAAGGCGAGGCCGAAAGGCGUAGUCGAUGGGAAACGGGUUAAUAUUCCCGUACUUGGUGUUACUGCGAAGGGGGGACGGAGAAGGCUAUGUUGGCCGGGCGACGGUUGUCCCGGUUUAAGCGUGUAGGUGUGUGUUCCAGGUAAAUCCGGUUCACUUUAACACUGAGGCGUGACGACGAGGCACUACGGUGCUGAAGCAACAAAUGCCCUGCUUCCAGGAAAAGCCUCUAAGCCUCAGGUAACAUCAAAUCGUACCCCAAACCGACACAGGUGGUCAGGUAGAGAAUACCAAGGCGCUUGAGAGAACUCGGGUGAAGGAACUAGGCAAAAUGGUGCCGUAACUUCGGGAGAAGGCACGCUGACACGUAGGUGAAGUGGUUUACCCAUGGAGCUGAAGUCAGUCGAAGAUACCAGCUGGCUGCAACUGUUUAUUAAAAACACAGCACUGUGCAAACACGAAAGUGGACGUAUACGGUGUGACGCCUGCCCGGUGCCGGAAGGUUAAUUGAUGGGGUCAGCGCAAGCGAAGCUCCUGAUCGAAGCCCCGGUAAACGGCGGCCGUAACUAUAACGGUCCUAAGGUAGCGAAAUUCCUUGUCGGGUAAGUUCCGACCUGCACGAAUGGCGUAAUGAUGGCCAGGCUGUCUCCACCCGGGACUCAGUGAAAUUGAACUCGCUGUGAAGAUGCAGUGUACCCGCGGCAAGACGGAAAGACCCCGUGAACCUUUACUAUAGCUUGACACUGAACACUGGUCCUUGAUGUGCAGGAUAGGUGGGAGGCUUUGAAGUGUGGACGCCAGUCUGCAUGGAGCCGACCUUGAAAUACCACCCUUUAAUGGCUGGUGUUCUAACGUGGGCCCGUGAACCGGGUUGCGGACAGUGUCUGGUGGGUAGUUUGACUGGGCGGUCUCCUCCUAAAGAGUAACGGAGGAGCACGAAGGUUGGCUAAUCCUGGUCGGACAUCAGGAGGUUAGUGCAAUGGCAUAAGCCAGCUUGACUGCGAGCGUGACGGCGCGAGCAGGUGCGAAAGCAGGUCAUAGUGAUCCGGUGGUUCUGAAUGGAAGGGCCAUCGCUCAACGGAUAAAAGGUACUCCGGGGAUAACAGGCUGAUACCGCCCAAGAGUUCAUAUCGACGGCGGUGUUUGGCACCUCGAUGUCGGCUCAUCACAUCCUGGGGCUGAAGUAGGUCCCAAGGGUAUGGCUGUUCGCCAUUUAAAGUGGUACGCGAGCUGGGUUUAGAACGUCGUGAGACAGUUCGGUCCCUAUCUGCCGUGGGCGCUGGAAGAUUGAGGGGGCUGCUCCUAGUACGAGAGGACCGGAGUGGACGCAUCACUGGUGUUCGGGUUGUCAUGCCAAUGGCACUGCCCGGUAGCUACAUGCGGAAGAGAUAAGUGCUGAAAGCAUCUAAGCACGAAACUUGCCCCGAGAUGAAUCUUCCCUGAGCCUUUAAGGCUCCUGAAGGAACGUUGAAGACGACGACGUUGAUAGGCCGGGUGUGUAAGCGCAGCGAUGCGUUGAGCUAACCGGUACUAAUGAACCGUGAGGCUUAACCUU
rnacentral:rRNA from 1 species